rnacentral:lncRNA from 1 species
AACCCUUUCCCUCUUCGUCUUCACUCUCUCUCAAAGUAACCCUAGCCGCCUAGGAUCCUCUCACCGCCUCCGUCGCAAACCACCCACCAAAAAUCGCCUCACGAUGGUUUUGGUGGUCCAAAGCUCCCCAAAUUUACGUCCUGAACCCACCCUUCACCUCCUCAGCCCAUAUCUCCAACUCUUUUCCUUCAAAUCCCUGCCAAAAUCCUCGAAUAUUAGAUCUAAGAUUCGAACAAAAAAACCCUAACUUCCCCAAAUUACCCCAAAUUCAUACCAUAAAAUCCUAAACCUUCCCUCACCCCUGUCUCACCAUUGAUUCCCCAAAAAUCCCAGCCAAAUUCCACGAAUCUUAAAUCUUAGAAUCAUCGAGCCCUAAUAUUUCCCCUUUUCUGAUUUUUUGGUCAAAAUUUGGUCAAGUGGACUUAAAAUCUCCAUUACUCGAUUGUUUUUGUUAAGAACAGUCGAUUAAUGGUAGUCAAAGUCCAUUUACACUUCAAAGAGUUUGGAUGAGUUCGUGAGUUGAUCUAGUUUUUGAAAUAAACUCUGGUAAAUCCCAUUCUUUUCUUUUGGUUGUUUGGUUUUAAUUUGGUUCUUUUCUGCAUGUUUAAUUAUUCUUGUUUUGACUGCAUGUUUUAUUUAGGUUAUUUUAGACCCGCCUUCUUUUAAUUCACAGACCCUUAGCUUUGUUCGAUGUUGGUUUUGUUUGUUAGAUGAAAAAAAAGAAGAGAAAAUCAUGUUUCCAAUUAGCCUAGGUUUCAAUAUCUAAGAUUCAGCAUGUUCAAUUGAUUGCUCUAUUUCCUAAACUGGUCUAAUGGCUUAUUAUAGGAAGACUGACAAUUAUUUAGGUUUUGCUGUUUCAUUUGUUUAAGUUUGGCAAUUUAAUAUAGUUUAAAUUCUAGUUUGUUCCCUGGUAUUUACCUCUCUAAUUUUGUUUGAUUACUGUUUAAGUGCAUCAUUGAUUAGUUUCAGUUCUAGUUUAGUUUUUAAUCAAUUAAGAAUUUCCUUCUAUUUAAUUUUGAACUGCAUCCAUUUGACCUCCUUAGGCAUUUUGAUCCAAAUUUCCAACCCUUUUUAGUUUUGUCCUUGUUUGUUCUAAUUUGCUCACAAUAGAAACUUUAGGGACUUAAUUGAACCUAAAAGCUUAGGUUAAAACUGAAAUAGCUAGUAAUUCAAAGGGUAAAAAUGGGAUUUUACAUUAGGUAGAAUUAGGAAAGUUUUAGAACACAAUACAUCUGUCCUUAUCCUUAGAAAAUACUGGUUUUGGAUAAAGAAAAAGGACAGUACAGCCGUAGAAUAUGUUGUACUAGGUCAGAAUAUUCUUUCUUGGAUACUAUUUUGUACACUAUAUAAAAGCAAACACCCACUCUCUCUGAAAAAGAGGAGGGACACAAUCAUUUUAGCAAUCAUCAGCACUUAAAAAAUAUUAUUCUCUACAAAAGUGCCCUUUUCAGACUUAAGAAAACUUGAGAAAGAUUUCCAAAACUCAUUAUCUUUUGGUUCACAAAUUGAAAAUGGUUUGAAAUAUGAAAUUUUUCGCGGGUCAUUUAGCUGAUUUUAUGGUUUCAAGUGGCUGAAUUUGGGUUUGAAAUUUUGGGGUUUUGGUUACUAUUGCUUCUAUCCUGCUGCUGCUCUAUUCUCAUUUAAAGUUUCAGUCAGUUUUGCAUCUUUAGUUGCUGAGUUUUGUUGCUUUGUUAUUCAAGGUAUUUGGCCUCAUCUUUCUCCAUGUAAUGAUCUGUUGUGGAAAAUGGUGUAAGACCUGAAUUGCAAAUCAUAUAUUAGUAUUGCUUUUCUUUUCAGGAUAUAAAUCUGGUUGGUUGUCAUUAUGAGAGUUUUUUUAGUAACUUAGUAUGCAUGGCCAAGCAAAUACACAAAUACUUUGGCAUUUAAUAUCUUGAAAUUUACUUAAAAAGAUAUUUUCCUUAAGCAUAUGUAAUAGUCAUGCCUUCCUUGCUUUUUAUAUUGGAUGUACAAUAUGUUUUUAUGCUAUUUGAUAUUUGUCUCUAACCAUGAAGCUAAAACCUGCAUGUUCAAAAGCUAAGAGCUAAAAUUUUAUUGUUGGUAGGCAUGUUGGAUCUAUGUGUCUAUGCAUUGGACUCAGUUUUGAUGGAUAAAUCAUAUACAAAAGAGGCAGAGGUUCAUUAGAUGCUUAAUUACAUGAAGUUGUAAUAGACUGGUUAUUAAUAUAGUGUUCAUAUAUUAAUAGGUUGUAAUGUACUGAUUCUAAAAGUUUUAUUUUGGAUAACUGUAAUAAAUUAAGGCUUUAAUUUCAUGUAUUGAUGUUCGAAACAACAUCAUGAAGAAUGUAAUUAGGUGUUAUCAUAUUUUUAUUAGUAUAGUGGGGCAGUGGACAAAGUUAUGGGCCAAAUUUCUAAGGUUAAAAGAUUUGGGUCAGACAUGAAAAUGAGCCCAGAUAGAAAUUGAGUCUUGGCAGAUCUGAGGCUGGACCAUUGGGUCUAGGCCUUAAGCCCAAUAAUUUGGGCUCAAUUGUAUGGUUUCGUUUAUGAGUUAUGGUAUAAAUGCAUAUCUGUUAUGUCUUGC